CCGCAGCCGCCGCCGCAGCGAAGAGGCCAUGUUGUGUGGAGUGGCGGGGGGAGGGGGAGGAGGAGGGAGUAAAGCCGAGAGAGGAGACGGCAGAGACACCACACACACGGCACAAGAUGGCCGGAGAGGCAGCAGCACCUCGAGCUGUCAGGCGCUCUCCCGCGGCCCAGGGGUCCCUCGGCCGGCGGGGAGCUGCGCCCGGGCGGCUCCGAGGCCCGCGGGAGCCGGGCGGCGGCGGCUGAGGCGAGGCGGGCGGCGCGCCGGGGUCGGAGCCGCGGCGGAGCGCCGGGGAGGCCAGGCCCGCGACGCCCGAGCUCUGCUGCGGCAGCGGCCGCGGAGGCUCCCCGGGAUCCCGGCGGCGGGGCCCGGCGUGGGCGGGCGGCUCGGGCGCGCGCGGACGGCCCGGCUGGAGGACGGGCCCUCGAGAGGCGCCGGCGGCCCCGCGCGGACCCGGUAAUUUACAAGAUUAAAAUUAAUUUGGUUGCUGGUGGUUCCGAACAAAUAUGUACAGCUCUUUUAUCCCAGGUACAUCUUUUUGAAGACUGAGAAAUUAGAGUUUUAUCCCUGAGGAUAAAGAAAGUGUUUUGGAAAGUAUUUUAUAUCGCAAAAGUGCAAAUCCUCAUACUGAUAAUCUGAAGGGCCUGUACAGUGUAGCAGACCUUGGAAACAGUAAGUAUUGCCCAAUUUACACAUUUUUGUAAAUGUGCCUGGAAAUUUUGAGUUGGAAUUGUGAAAACGUAGAGGGAGUAGUAAAGCUUAGAACAGUACAGGGACAUCAGCCUCCUUAGGUACGUGUGCAAUCAAAGUUUACUUAUUAAUUUACUUUGUCUAUUUCUGUUUGCUUCACUUAAACUCAGGCAGAAUUAAAAUGCAAACAAACCCACACUAAGGCAUGCUUCUAACAUUCUUUAGAUCUGGGUGUUGGAAACUUUCCCCCUUGUUUUUACAAGUAAACUUUUUUUUUUGGAGUACACCUGUAUUCUGUGAUACAGAUGCUUUGUGGUUGCCUUCCCACCACAGUUUGAGGAGUUGAGAGUAGUUGUAGCAAAAGCCUAAAUAUACAUAGCCUAAAAAAUAUACUAUCUGGUUCCUGACCCUUUGUUCUAGAUCUACCCUAACUUAUGAACCAUACCAUAGCUACAGAGAACUCAGAAGCCGUUGGGUUCUCUUUUGGUAAUAAAACAUUUUUUGUUUUUGGGGAGGUUUUCUUGAACUGGGAACCGAACUCAGGGCCUUGCUCUUGCCAGGCAGGCACUGUUCUGAGCUAUAUUCCCGGCAUAAAAUGUAUUUAAAAAUUUUUUUCAAUGUUAAAAUUACCUCUAAUUAAGUAAUUCAGAACUUUCAUACACUUAGAGGUCCAGCGCAGAGGUCUUUAGCCCAGUUGACCCUGACAUGGUUGGAUAUUAGGAGAGGCUUUAACUGCAACUACUGUGUAGUAGCUUCUCUAAUCCAAACCUGAGAAACGAUGGGAGAGUCAGGUGGGAAGGUUGUUUAUAAACUAAUUCGGUGGAAUUCGCAAAAGGAUUUUAUUAUCGACAGAACUUUUUUUGGUAAUUGCUUAUGAGAUGAUUCUUAAGAGUGUCUCUUUUUGAAACAUUUGGAAAUCUACAUUCUAAGUUAUUAUUUUUCUCUACUUUAGUUUCGGUUGUAUAAAUGGCUUCUAGGGCCUGCAAAACAGAAGUUCUUUUGCUUCUUGGUGAGGGAGAGUGAGUAGAACUGAAAACUUGCCUAAUGUAGUUCAGAUAAUAGUCUCCUGUCUGAUCAUAUUUAAAAGAGGUUAAUUGCUUAGCACAUAGUAGAUGCUCAAGAAAUACUUGAUGAUUUAUUGUAUAAAUAUUGCUUCUUUUAACAGAGUUUACCAACUAGUGUUUUGGGUUUAAUAAAGAGUAAAGAUGCAAGUUUUAAUGUGUUAAAUAUUAAUAUUAUGUCUGAAGGUCUAAAUUUUUUUCAGUAAAAAUUUAAUAUGACAAGAUCUUGCAAUCUUUUGUAUUCUCCUUCCCUUUCUGGCAAAUCUCAGUCUGUGUAGUCAAGUUUGAAACCAAUAGGGACAGUUGGGAGGAUUUGAUUUAGUUUCUAAAUCCCCGACCCAAAGACAAACAUAAUUAACCUUGUGUUCUUGGUGGUGAAUAACUGGCUGGUCUUUUUCAAAUCAUUUUAUAGUUAGUUUUUAUGUCUGUGCUAUUUAAGACUCAAACCUGUUGACAUAUAUUCUAUUGAUGAUUGACACUUUUUUUUUUUUUGUACUGGGGCUCGAACUCGGGACCUUGUGCUUGUGUGGCAGGCGCCAGAACCACUGAGCUAAAUCCCCUGCCCUGAUUCACACUUUUUUAAAGACAAUUAUGUUAGUUUACUUUUCAGGGAUGUCUUACAUAAAUAUUUUUCAGAUAUAAAGACAAAUGUUCAAAAAGAACAUUGAAAUCAACUCAUAAUUACCAAGAAUCUUAAUUACAUGAUGGGAAGAAUGAAUUUUCAUUCUAGAGUGUUUUCCAUCUCCCCCUUGGUUUUAAAAUAAGCUAAGUUUUAAAAUAAUACAAAUUACAUUAAUACUAGCCUUUUUUUUUUUUUUUUUUGAGCCAACCAUUUAAAAAUUUAAGAAUUGUUUCUUUGCUUGUGCUCCUCUCUGCCCCUCACAUUUUUCUUUGCUAUUAAAAAUGGGAAAGUUUGCUGAGAGACGUAAGAUGAUUUUAGAGGAGCAUAUCUUCAACCCAAUCUAGAUGAUGAAGCAGUUGCCUACAUUUCAAUUUACAGUGUAUUUUGUAAUGUCCCAGUGUUUUUGGAACAACUUUAGUGAAGUACAAUUUGAAGAAAAGACUCCCAUGCUUAAUUUUAUGUUCUUAGGAAUGUGUGCAGGGUUUGGAGAUUGGAGGAGAUAGCAGUCACUCAUUACCUUGUUACCAUUGAAACUUUUACCUUUGGUAUGGGAUUGUUCUUAGAACAAGAGUAUAUUGGGCUGGGGAUUUAGCCCAGUGGUUCUGUCGCCUGCCUCACAAGCGCAAGGACCCGAGUUCAAUCUCUGGUACCAAAAUAAAAAAAGAGUAUAUUACUUAGAAAGUAUAAACUACUGAGUAUCAAAGUGGGAAAGUUCUAACCAUGUUAUGAGCUUGAACCUCGUGUAAAACAUGAAAUCUAGAUCUGUUUGGCUUUUGGGAUUGUAGAUCAAAGCAUCAUUUCAUCUAUUAAAUAUGUCUUCAGUAAUGCACAAGAAGGAAGUAGAAUAAAGACUUUGAUAUUUACGAUCUACCCAAUCUUUUGGGUAUCCUACUCUUUCUUUUGGGGUUUUUUUUUUUUUUGGUAGAAUGGUUUCAAUGCAAUACUACGUUUAUUAAAUUGGAAAGUGUUUACUAAAUAACUGACCCUGUGACUCCAUGUGUUCUUCAAAGACAGCCUUACUAUUGAAAUUUACAUCAGUUUUGAUUCAGUAAGGGUUAGUGUGAGUCCCAGGCACUUUGGUCAUUGUGGUAUUGGAAGGAUAGUCAGCAUUUGUUGAGAUCUUUCCAUAUGCCUGCUUAAUACAAGCAUUAUGACCAUACUCAUUUAAUGCUCUCUGCUGCCACAGGAGGUAGGUACUACGAUUUUGUUUCACAGAUGAAGAACUGUGGAUGUUAGCAAGAAAAUUUCCAGGCUCACAGAAUUCAUUCCCUUUUUUUUAAACAAAACUUUGCUUAUUUGCAAAUUUAGUUUUGAUAAGAAUUUGGAACUCCAUGAAUGCAAGUGGAUUACUCCUAAAUCCCUCACUGAUCCUGACUGAGCACUUUUGCUUGUUAGGAGAAUUUUUACCCUUGGCUUUGGAUUGGCCUUGUGGGAGUCCAGAGUGACCCUGGCUUAUCAGCAUCCUAAGAGUCAUCUGCUUUUUCUUGUAGCAUUAUUUUUCUAUCCUAUUAAAAACUAUCUUAAGGGCUGGGGAUUUAGCUCUGUGGUUCUGGCACCUGCCUCGCUAGUGCAAGGUCCGGAGUUUGAUCCCCGGUACCAAAAAACCCCCCAAAAACCCAAAACUAUCUUAAAUAUAUGACAGCGUUGACAGAUUUCGUCUUUUCUCAGCUAUUGUGACACACCAGUGCAUUUUUUUGAAUAAUUUUGGAAUGAUUCUAAUAUUAUGAAUUUUUUUUUGAAAUAAUGAUUUUAGAAGGAAAUUUCAUAUAAUGUUCUAGGUCAGUGAUGGCACAUCUUUCAGAGCAUUCAGUGAUCCAUUGUGACACAUGUGCCAUAGCUUUGCCUCCACUAUGAUGGGUAAAAAGUUUAUCUUUUCUCUUAUAGCAGACUAUAAAGCACUGAUGUAUCAUUUCAUAUGCCAAAUUACACUUGUAGCUACCAAAGUGACUAAGUUGGUUAUUAAUGCAUUCCUGUUGUCAUUGUUUAUCAAAAUUAUUUACACCAAUUUCAUUUAAAGGGCAAUCCUGCAUUGUAACAAUAGAGAUUGAGAAUUUGGAUUAUAAGUGACAGUAUUUUUAAAAAAUACCAUAAUUUCUUUUAAGAAAUGAACCAGGCCCAAUGGAAGAUAUUUUACUGAUAGAGGAAAUCAGUGAGUUAUUUAGUUCUCGUGUUAAGACUGGGGAGAAAUUUGCAAAAUCUAUUAAGAAAUAUCAUGCUUUUGAUGUUCAUUGAUAAUUGUGACACUCCUUUUCAGUUAGCGCUGUUUAAUAGGGGUACAGCAGUAUCUUUGGGUAACCAAAUAGUUUAUUAAGUAGAUUUUUGUGUUGUAUGUGCUAGACAAUAUGUGUUGAUUACAAUCAAGGAGACAAAUUAACGUAAAAGCCAAAAUACCCUUAUAUUUACAUUUAUCUCCAAGUUAGUCACUUUGACUAUAUCUCUACAAACUGAAUUGGAGAGUCACAAAAUUCAUCUAGAGAAGACCAGGGUUAAAAGUUGUUUUGCAAUUAUGUUUGAUCAUGUUGAAUCCAGAUUGUUAUUUACUUAGAGAGGUAAAUCACCUGGCUUCAAACUUUGCCCUUCAAUGUAGAUUAUUGAAAAAGAUUUAUUUUUUCUUUGAGGUAUAUGUGAAAUUUGGGCAAUGAGAUUAUUUCAGUUGUAUGUAAUUUCAAAAGCGGUAGCAUUUUAUUUUAUUUUAUUUUUUGGUACCGGGGACUGAACUCGGGUCCUUGGCGCUUGCAAGGCAGGCAGCAUAACCACUAAGCUAAAUCCCUGACCCCAGUGGUAGCAUUUUAUAGUAAAUACCAAAUAAGGCAGGCAGAUAUUUUGGGUUUUUCAUAAUUUUUUCCCUCUGGAGGUUCCAUAUUUUCUGCACUUCUCAGAUAAUACAACUAAAGGUGAUGUCAUCUGUACUGUGUAGGCCUUUGGGUUAGCUGGUCAGAAUGAACAUAUUAGAUGAGAAAAGUAUGCUAUGAUCCAGUGCUUUGUUUUCUAAAAAUCCUUUAAGAUUCUUUCCUAUAUUUAGUUUUCUUUGAGCUUGAAAACUUUCUUGUAUUGAGAUUAAGAAACCACAGUGUUUCUGUAAUUAAGCUUUCCAGGAAUUUUUAAUUUUAAGUUUUGUUUUUGCUUUGCAUAUGUGUGAUUUAAAGAUGCUAGAGUUAAAUAUUAAAAAUUGACUCUUCACUGCCCCUUUUUUAUGGAUACGAAUGUAUCUGACAAGAAAACUUUGUUCCUUUUAUGCAGAUUUUGAUUGGAUCUUUGAGAGUUUGUAAAUGUGUCUGCAUUGCAAGCUUUAAUAUAGUUGAAAGCUGUUAUAGGAUAAAAGUUUGGUGUAUGGUAGAAGAUCUUCAAGGUGGGUGGAUGUUCUCUGUUUGAAGGCAUAAGAUUAUUGGCAUUCCAACAGCAUUUUUUUCUUUUAAUUUUUUUUUUUUAUCAAGAACCCAGUCAGCUUGAAGAGUCUCAAAAGGACCCUACCAGUGAGAAAUCAAGAUGGCAGUCCACUAUGGGGAAUUGAGGAAAAUGGAUUAAUACAAGAGUGCUGUGAUAAAAUACCACCAAGACAGGGUUCUUUUAACAUGGAUUCAGUGAAAUGAAUGAAACCUAUCUUAACCAACAAAUGGACAGUGGAUUUGACUUUGUAAAGACUUGUAUCAUUUAAACUAGUUUAUUUUUGACAUUUGGAGAAGAUGGCACGUUAACACAGAUGGUAGCGUGGAUACCUGAAUUUUUUUUUUGCAUAUUUUGAUUUGUUUGAAUAUGACCUCAUGGAAUGUUAACUUUAAUAAAAUUUCUAACAUUUAAAAAAAUUUCAGUUUGGGCCUUGUUCUUUUUCAAGUGGAAGUUUCAUUAAAUAUUCAAUUAUCACCUUAAUAACAAUUUGGUUCUUACAGUUGCCCAGCAGUAUAUUCAGUAAAACUGGUAACAUGGAAAUGAUGUGGUGGAAUAUGUUUUACUUGCUUGAUAAAGAUUUGUAUUUUCUCACAAAGCUAUGGGAAUUUAUCUGUGCUUUGGC
ensembl:lncRNA